CUUGGGUAACUAAAUCUUGGGUAUUAGCUGAUAAGAAGAGGUGUCAGAGGUGUUAUGAAACAAAUCAGAUGAAUAAUGGGCGAACUGUUAUCGCUUUCACAGACCGAAGGCGCGGCGGGCAGAGCGGCCUUCUCACCCCCUUCCCUUCACUUGUCGGGAAUUGGGGCAUUUUUCAGUCGCAUCUUCGCCCUUCUUGGGGGCGGCCUUAGAUUGUCGGCAGCUGUCUUAGAUCAGAGCUGUUUAUUCCACAGCGAAACCACUUUGGAUCGAGACGAGGGAGAGAGCGCAGAGCGGGGGCACCCUCCCGAGCCUUUGAAGCGCCUCUGGUCGUUCGUUCUCUUCUGCUCGGCAAAAUCCAAGCCCUCCACUCUCGUCACAACGCAGAGCCCCGAGAUAAGAGAAGCGUCCUGCACACGAGCACGGUCACACGUCCGAAGUAACAGCGGACCUCCUCUCGCGUUUCCGAAGCUCGGGUGCUCGACGCCGCUAUCCGCCCCAUCCAAAGCGGUUUCUUUCCCCCUUCCCCGCUCCGCUUUUAGAAGAUAUUUCUUUAUUUGGUCAAGGAAUCCUAUCAGCGUCAGGAGAAAAGUUGUGGUUCUAAUUCUCUUAACGUAAGGAGGGGAGAGGGGAAAGAAGCUUAUCUCCCCGCUUUUUAUUUUAUUACUACUAUUGUUAUUGUUUUCAUUGGACACCGACUCGAGCACAUCGUAGCGAAUUUAGAUGCACUUGCAGGACGGGUUGUAGAGUCCACCUUCGGCAUAGGAAGGCCCUUGCGAAGCGCAGGGUGCCGAGAUGAUACAUGCAGCUCCGGAGGCUGUGGGAACCCGAAUCGGAAGCCAGCUUGCUUUUGCUUCGCUUCCCACCGCCAUCCGCUUUCCAAUCCGCGUAAAAGGCUUUUGGUUUUGUCUUAAAAGGCAUCUGAGAACCAACCGUUCGGAAUAAGCAAGGAGUGUGUGAAGGGGGAAUCACCCAAACCUGUAGGAAGCUGGAAUUGGCCCUCUGCGCUUCGACAGCGAAUAGCAGCCACCAAGUACCAUCCCCUUCAGAUCUGCCCUGCAGCAGCUCUUCCUGCUGCCAACUUGCAGUAAAAUUUAUUGCCCUGUUUCAUCAGAUGACAAGAAACAAUGCCAGCAAUUUCUCCAGUGCUAUCUAUAUGUGAUCAAACAGCAUCAAACUUAUCCACACACUGAACAAAGAGGGAAAGUCACUUCUGGGGUGACAGUCAUCUCAUCCUGAAGCAAAUGUAUAAACUAGGUCAGAUAAAACUUUACUUGCAAUAAAAGGAUCUGGAAGGAGACUGGCUGAGGCAUCAAUUUCGACACUGAAGAGGUCUACGUAUGGACUGGAAAGAAGUGUACAAGCAGCCACUCCUGAAACACAUCAGAAACUCUGCUUUCAGCUUCUCUUCUGGCAAUGCUGGAACUUCCAGAAGAGUCGUUGAUGCCUGCCUAAUUCUGCUGAAGCAAUCAGGAGAAGAUUCAGAUCGGAAUUACUACCAGCAGUGGAAGGGGAGAACUAGAAACAGAAGGGAGAUAUGGAUUUCCAUUCCUACUUCCAUCCACUGUAUGCUGUGGUGAGCACCAGUGCAGUUACUAAAACCCAAUGGUGACAUCGAUGGCUGAAUGUUGUUCAUGGAAGUGGCUUCAUGAUCUAGACUCACAGUGUGCUUGGUCUUCUCAUCUGCUUCCUGAGAUUUGUCUUUUGGGAUUGUUCUUUACUUCCCACAUUCAAAAGUGAACUGGGCAGCCACAUGCAUUUCUUUUACUGAACCCAGAGUAGAGAUAAGCUGUUAUUAAUUUAUUAUGGGUUUCUUCAUGAAAUGAAUACAUUUCUUUCAGCUAUUUCUUUCACUAGUUUAGAACUAAUAUAUUGCCAACACUAUUUUCCUGUAGAAAAAAGGACUGGAAGAAAUGGUACAAAAUCCAUAGCAGAGAUAGAUCCAGGAGCCAACUGCCUUCAUUUGUUUAGAUUCACUGUAGAACUCAGUGUAAUUAAAUCUGCUCCCGGUUCAGUAAGAUUGAUGGAGGAAAGAAACCUAGGAAACUUCAGGGAGGGAGAAGAGAGGUUGCAAAAAUCACCAGAUGGCGCUGGUAGAUACGGCGUGCCAGAACAACACAGGCUGUGAGCACUUCUCUGCCUCUGGACCAAGGCAACUUUAUGGCUGGAUUGCAUUGCAUGAUCUGAACAUAUGGUGCUAUGCAUUGGUGGUUUUCAUUUGGUGGUCUCCCCAAACAUAUUGCACAUAUUAUGUGUUGUACAUUUUCAGAAUUAAGAAAUAAAGUAAAAUUCAGAAAUAGAGAAUUCACACAGUUACACAUACUCCUUGGGUCCAAAAGCAAUUUAGAAAUAUAGAGUGCUGUGGUUUAACCCCGACAGGCAACUAAGCAACACACAGCUUCUUGUUUACUCCUCCCAGGUGGGAUGGGGGAGACAACUGGAAAAGAAAAACAGUGAGUACUCAUGUGUUUGAGACAAAGACAUUUUACCAGGUAAAGCAAAGGCUGUAUGCAACAAGCAAAGCAAAGAAUUAAUUCAGUACUUCCCAUCAGCAGGCUGCUGUUCAUCCAGUUCCAAGAAAGCAGGGCUCAUCACAGCAUCAUAGAAUCAUAGAAUGGCUUGACUUGAAAGGGACCACGAUGAUCAUCUAGUUUCAACCCCCCUGCUAUGUGCAGGGUCGCCAACCACGCACGCUUCAUGGUUUACUGGGAAGAAAAAUGCCAUGCUAUCACUCCGUAUAUCCUCCCUUUCUCCUUCUUUACCUCAUCUUUUAUUGUUGAUCAUGAAUCCAUACAGUAUGGAAUAUCCCUCUAGCUAGUUUAGAUCAGCUGUCCUGGUUCUGCCCCCUCCCAGCUCCUUGUACUGCCCCAGCCCCUCGCUGUCAGGGCAGCAAAAGAAACUGAAACAUCCUUGGGUCUGUGUAGUACUGCUCAACAACUAAAACACUGGUGUACUAUCACCACUGUUUUCAUCAAAAGUACAAAACGCAUAAUACAAAUUAACUCUAUCCCAGACAAACCACGUAACAGGACUAUCACUAGGGUUGGGAUGGCUUUUUUUCUUCCUCUGUAUAAAUACAUGAGGACAUUCUUCAUGUUUGGUUUUAAAUAAAAUUGUAGGGGUUUUUUUUAGAAACAUCAUAAUUUUGGAAAUUGUCAUACAGAAAUUUGAGAGAUCCUCUUUUCCUUCUGUUUGAGAAAACUGAAAACAUUAAUUCAUUUUUGACUCUUGGUAGCACAUCUUUAUUUAUUCAUUUUUUUUUUUUAAUUUUAAAUAUGGUUUGCUAUAGUAAUUAACUUAUAGCAGAAUUCUUCCAGAACAUUAAAAUGAACAUAUGCCCCUUCUUUUUUUCCCCAUUCCUUAACAGUCUGUUCUUUUCUAAUCACAACUGGUUGGGGAAUCUGACUUCUUUUUCCAAAUCAGUGCACUGAGAAAAGUUCUACCCCUUAUAUUGUUACAGUCUCUGAUUCUUAUGUGACCCAACUUGAUCCAAUUUAGUUUGUAGAAUUUGAGAGGAUCACAGCUCAAAGGGCAGUGCUAAGUGGACUGUCUAAUUUUAACUCUUUGAUGACUUCAGAGAUGUUGCUUUGUAGGCCAAUACACACAUACCCAUCUGAGGUAGCAUCAGUAAGGUGCAGAACAACGUGGCUCUGCUCCAGCAAAGCACUUAACCAGUCGUUCAGCGUGGAGCCCCAGGGCUGAAGUGAAGAGGGAGGUACUGUGACAUGACUUGCACUAUGAACUGCAUUUAGAUUUAUGGCUAGUGUUGAUCUGAAAAUCAGGAUAGUUAAUCCAAACAUAGUGUUUAUUUUGCACUGAAAAGAGUUAUUCACAAAGGUUAACCUAACCUAAUAGAGUCACUCCCAGAGGCUCUCUGGGUAAGCCCAUCUUGCUACGCUCAUUGUAGAGGAUGUUUAGAGAGAUUAAUCUUGUGACGAUAAAGUGAGCCUUUGUGAAAACCCUUCCAAAUGUCAUGCACAUAAUAUUUUUCUGACCUACUACAUCUCUUGGACUCUGCAUAAUAUUUCUAAAAUGCUCUAAACCAUUCCAACAUUUUGGAAAGUGUUACCUCUCUGCUUAAUCCUCAGGUGGAUGGUGUAAUAUCUGAAACUGUGUUUAGAGCUGAAGCUUGCUUUCAAUGCUGGUGUUAACCACAGCUUUAUGCUUGAAAGUUUUCAAUUGUUCCCCUGGUUUAUUGACUGAAGUGUACCACUGACACAUCUGUGGAUCAUAUGAUGUUGAUUCUUUCAGUGACAGCUUCUGCAAAAGUGAUACACUUUUCCAAGUUGUUAAAGUAGCUUUAUGGUUUUCAACUCCCCUGCUUCACCUCAGUCAAAUGCAGGAACAAAGUUUGUGUUGAACAAGUGAAUACUAAGAUAUUAAUAUGGAC
ensembl:lncRNA